CUGUAGUUAAUUAAGCUGACUGAUUGGAUUCCUUUACUAAUGGUAACCCACUGUGUAAGGCUGCAAACAGCAGUAUCUUUAGAAAUAUGUGGCCUGUUGCUUGAAUGGGUUGCCCUAAGGGACCUUGGAGACAGUG
rnacentral:snoRNA from 1 species